rnacentral:rRNA from 1 species
UACGUAGGUGACAAGCGUUGUCCGGAUUUACUGGGCGUAAAGAGCGCGCAGGCGGUCGAUCAAGUCGAGUGUGAAAGCCCCCGGCUCAACUGGGGAGGGUCAUUCGAUACUGAUCGACUCGAAGGCAGGAGAGGGUAGUGGAAAUUCCCGGUGUAGUGGUGAAAUGCGUAGAUAUCGGGAGGAACACCAGUGGCGAAGGCGACUACCUGGCCUGUUCUUGACGCUGAGGCGCGAAAGCUAGGGGAGCAAACGGG